rnacentral:rRNA from 1 species
UACGUAGGUGGCGAGCGUUGUCCGGAAUUACUGGGUGUAAAGGGCGUGUAGGCGGGAAUGCAAGUCGGAUGUGAAAUACCGUGGCUUAACCACGGGGCUGCAUCUGAAACUGUGUUUCUUGAGUGUCGGAGAGGAAAGUGGAAUUCCCAGUGUAGCGGUGAAAUGCGUAGAUAUUGGGAGGAACACCAGUGGCGAAGGCGACUUUCUGGACGAUAACUGACGCUGAGGCGCGAAAGCGUGGGGAGCGAACAGG